UAUAUUUCACUUUUCUGGGUAUUGGCCAGAAUCCUAUAGUUUUCUUCCUUCUCUUUAUGUUUGUUCUCUUUUUCCUUCCCUCCAGCUUGACCAUCUGUCUCCCUACUUUUGCUUCUGUGUAACUACAGACUAUGUACCUAGAGGUUAAAGAACACAUGUCAUCAAAGGAUUCAGUUUUUGGAAGUCAUCUCUGAUCUACGUGAUAUACAAGCUGGGAUGGAGAAAAUUGUGAAAAGGACCUGAAAGUGUUGAUAAGAAAAUAAGAGAAAGAUGUCUUCAAAAAGGGAAGUGAUCUAGAAUUUUCCCAGCAUAGUGCUGAAUGCAUUGUGAAACUACAGACUUGGUUUGUUUGCAAUUCACAAAUAGGAGCCUAAAUAGGAGCUAUCUUCCAGAUGACAGCCAGAGGAGAGACUUGUAAUUUGGCAUUAGCAUCAAUGGAGAUAUUCUGCGAUUUAUGGUUUUGGCAAGUGGAGGCCAAGGAAAAAUUAAGAUAUUUCAGUUUUGGAUACAUAGAUUUUUCGGCAAGUUCUCCCACAGCCUGCAACCUGAUCAAAUGCAACGUGGUUGGACUGGUGCCUUGUCAUGCUCUUGGAAUUCCCUCUCGUCCUGCUCCAUAGAAGGCUGCUUUCAGCUAUCCAAUGAUCCUACUGCCAGAGGGAGUAGAAAGAGAGCCAGCAUUAUGGAUGUACUGCAGAGUUUCUCUUCUGUGAUGAUGAAGCUGUUGAGUUAGGAGCCAACCUUCUGCUUCUAGGUUUUAAUUCAUCUUGGCCUGCUGUUCAGGUUCAAUGGUUCUCAGAAUCUGGUUGCACCAAUUAAACCAGAAUCUCUGGGGGAAAGGACCCAGCCAUCAAUAUUUUUUAAAGGUCCUAAAUGAUUUUACUAUACAGGUAGGCUUGAGAGCCACUAGUUUUAGUGCAACUGUGAAUGGAUGCCUUCUAGAAGCUACUGCAUUAGAUGCCUCACUACCUGCUGACUUCUCCUUACAUCACCCAGAAUAAUUGUUUUUGUGUGUUGUCGUUCAGCAGUGAGAAAAGUAGCAUUAAGUUUAGAGUUCUCCAUUUUUCUCACAGCCUUCAUUUGCCUUUAGUUUUUUUUUUCCUUUGGAUAAAUGGAUAUUCAUGACAGUUUGCAAAUAUCUUUUCUAUUUACCACCUGUGGCAUUGUACUGCUUUCUGAAUAAUGGACUUUGUGAGUUAGUUAUUUGCAACAUAGCUAGCAGAUAUAUCUUUUGGCUGGAUUGUACUUUUGUCUAUUUUUUCAUUGCUGAUGUAGGAUUCUCUAUAUUUUUAUGUUCCUUUGAGUAUAUAAUUACCAGCCAAGGGAGGGAAAGAUGUUUAUGCUUUGUGAUAAUUAUCAUUUUGACUAUUAUAACUGCCGUAUAAUGAGUACAUAGUAUUAUCAGACACCAACUAUAAACCAUACAUGAAUUAUCACAUUUUUCCUUCACAAGAAUUUUGAGAGGUAGAUAAAGUAUCUCCAUUUUAUAAAUAAUUCUCUAGUUGUUAUUUUACAUGAAAACAUUCAGAUGAAUUAUGAAAAAUGACAAAAGGCACUCUAUCCAAUGAUUUACUAGUGAUGGAUUCCAGGGUAAAGAAGAGGGUAGAGAGAAAAAUUGAUGCAAGGUAUUCUACUACUGCAAAUUCAGGCUUUCCUAGGACCAGGCUCUAUAAGAGUCAAGCCUGGUGGUACAAUUGGAAACUACUCUCCAGCCAAUAUUAUCUAGAACCAGC
ensembl:lncRNA